rnacentral:rRNA from 1 species
UUCCGAUCUAACGAGACCUUAACCUGCUAAAUAGCCAGGCCGGCUUUCGCUGGUCGCCGGCUUCUUAGAGGGACUGUCAGCGUCUAGCUGACGGAAGUUUGAGGCAAUAACAGGUCUGUGAUGC